rnacentral:lncRNA from 1 species
CUACUAUGUUCAUAAGUGGUUUUCUAGUCAAACCCCGAUCUAGUCAAAAUGGAGUAUCUAAGACACAAUCAGCAGGUAACCAACGACAUAAAAGCAGUCUAGUAGGAACCUCAGAGACUACAUGCGCAACAACUUAUCCUAAAUCCUUCUGUGAGUGGCUAGCAGGAAUUCUCGAUGGUGCUGGAAGUAUUCAAGUUAGUAAACAAGGAUCUACUUCUCUGGAAAUUACUAUGGGACUUGCAGAUCUACGACUACUACGAUAUAUCCAACAUAUGCUUGGUGGAAGUAUCAAAAUUCGAGCAGGUGCUAAAGCUUAUCGUUAUCGACUACAUAAUCAACUUGGUAUGAUUCAACUAAUCAAUAGUCUUAAUGGUAAUAUUCGACAUUCAGCACGACUACUUCAACUACAUCGUGUCUGUCAAGUACUUGAUAUCCCUUUCAUUCUACCUAUUACACUAGAUGCUCAAUCCAAUUGGUUUGCAGGAUUCUUUGAUGCUGAUGGUACCAUUGGUCUCGCUAUGAAGCAUCGACUACCUCAACUAAGUAUUCGAGUCAAUAAUAAACUUCUACAAGAUUGUGAGUCUUAUAAGGUCGUAUUUGGAGGAAAUAUCUACUUUGAUAGUAGUCAAAAUGGUCACUAUCAAUGGUCUGUACAAAGUCGAAAAGAUGUUAUCAUGAUGCUAGAUUACUUUAAAUCAAGUACUUUCCGAAGUAAUAAAUCACUACGAUUCUUCCUUAUUGAGGAAUAUUACAGUCUUUACGAUCUCAAAGCAUUUCAACCUGACAGUAUUCACCAUAAAGCAUGGCUAGCUUUCCUAGACAAAUGGAAUAAGUUGAUGAUAUAGUCCACCUUUCUUCUAUUCAUCCGCGAUGAUAUAGUCUACCUUUCUUCUAUUCAUCCGCUUAUAGUAGUAGAAGAGAGAAGCACCCUGAAGUUUACAUCCUAAUUCUGCCUGGAUCCGGUAUCAUAAGUCAUAUCGUUUCUACUUUUUCGAAAAAACCGGUCUUCGGGUAUCUAGGCAUGGUUUAUGCCAUGAUCAGUAUAGGUGUUCUUGGAUUUCUUGUUUGGGC